GAUGAACGCUGGCGGCGUGCUUAACACACGCAAGUCGAACGAAGCACUUUAUUUGAUUUCCUUCGGGACUGAUUAUUUUGUGACUGAGUGGCGGACGGGUGAGUAACGCGUGGGUAACCUGCCUUGUACAGGGGGAUAACAGUUGGAAACGGCUGCUAAUACCGCAUAAGCGCACAGCAUCGCAUGAUGCAGUGUGAAAAACUCCGGUGGUAUAAGAUGGACCCGCGUUGGAUUAGCUAGUUGGUGAGGUAACGGCCCACCAAGGCGACGAUCCAUAGCCGACCUGAGAGGGUGACCGGCCACAUUGGGACUGAGACACGGCCCAAACUCCUACGGGAGGCAGCAGUGGGGAAUAUUGCACAAUGGGCGAAAGCCUGAUGCAGCGACGCCGCGUGAGCGAAGAAGUAUUUCGGUAUGUAAAGCUCUAUCAGCAGGGAAGAUAAUGACGGUACCUGACUAAGAAGCACCGGCUAAAUACGUG
rnacentral:rRNA from 1 species